rnacentral:rRNA from 1 species
GACGAACGCUGGCGGCGUGCUUAACACAUGCAAGUCGAACGGAAAGGCCCUGCUUUUGUGGGGUGCCCGAGUGGCGAACGGGUAAGUAACACGUGAGUAACCUGCCCUUGACUUUGGGAUAACUUCAGGAAACUGGGGCUAAUACCGGAUAGGAGCUCCUGCUGCAUGGUGGGGGUUGGAAAGUUUCGGCGGUUGGGGAUGGACUCGCGGCGUAUCAGCUUGUUGGUGGGGUAGUGGCUUACCAAGGCUUUGACGGGUAGCCGGGCUGAGAGGGUGACCGGCCACAUUGGGACUGAGAUACGGCCCAGACUCCUACGGGAGGCAGCAGUGGGGAAUAUUGCACAAUGGGCGGAAGCCUGAUGCAGCAACGCCGCGUGCGGGAUGACGGCCUUCGGGUUGUAAACCGCUUGCGCCUGUGACGAAGCGUGAGUGACGGUAAUGGGUAAAGAAGCACCGGCUAACUACGUG